GCCGGGCAGAGUGGCACAUGCCUGUUGUCUCAGCUACUUGGGAGGCUGAGGUAAAAGCACUGCUUGAGCCCAGGAGUUCUGGGCUGUGGCACACUAUGUCGAUCGGAUGUCGGCAGUAAGUUUGGUAUCAAUAUGGUGACCUCCCAGGAGCAGGGGACCACCAGGUUGCCUAAGGAGGGGUGAACCAGCCCAGGUUGGAAACGAAGGUCAAAACUCUCAUGCUGAUCAGUGAAUGUCAUGUUUUCAAGUGGGGACAAUAAGCUCAUGAAUGUCAGUGAACAAUUUAAGUCUAUAAUUCUU
rnacentral:SRP_RNA from 1 species